CAUCCCAUCUCACCGGGGUUUUGGGCAACCCAAAAAACACCAAAAGGACCGAACCCGAUCCCCUACCGCUAGCGACGGUGUUUCUGCCGAGGGGUCAGGAUGAAACUCUUCCAAAAAAAAAAAAAGAGCAAGAAGAGGGAUGCCAAAUCAGGGCAGGCCAGCGAGUCUGCUGCUACUCCAGCUAAAAAAAGCAGGAAACCAUAUCCCAGGCUCGGAGAUGCCAAUCUUCCCAUGCAAACAACUCCCUUUUUGUUUUUUUUGGAGAGUAUCAGAGGGCUCAGGAACAGCCAGUCACAAAUAGCAACUCCACGACACCACCAAGGAAACCUUCUCCAGCCUCGGGGACCAUGCAGGGAUGCUGGUGACCCCACAGCAGGAUGGUGGCUUCUCUAGGGGGCACCUGGUGGUGGCUGUCCUCUCACUGGGAUGGUGACUCCUCCAGGGGAAACCUGGUGGUGGGUACUACCACGGGUGUCCUUUUCCCAGCACAUCCAUGCAGGGAUGUCCCUCUGGGGCUCACUGGUGUCCUGAAUGCCACUGGGUGGAAGGUGGUGGUGGCCAUCUCCUGGUUCCCAAAAGGGGACAUGCCUGGGGUUUUUAGGACAACUCAGGACACGGGGGUCACACAAACCCAACAUCUGCUCCCAGCAAACCUUCCACCACUCAGAUUAAAGGGAUUCUACUCAAAAUACCCUGCACAAGGUACAGGGGAGCACCAGGCUUGGGGACAGCCCCCAGCUGCACCCAGGCAUGGUGGUGAUGAGGGCAGGAACUGGGCAGACUGGGAUCAGCCUCCUGUUCCCCGGAAGCUGAGUGGCUCCAACGGGAAUUUGCACAAAGAGUGAGUUACUGGAAUACUUUUACCCAGAUGCUGAUUUUCGUUCUCCUUCCCAUUGGCCGGGCCACAGUUCCCAAAGAACCAAAAGCAAACACGCUAUUUUUAGAGAAGAGUUCAUUUACUGGAGCCAUUCCCUUUGAAAUUCCUCACUCAUCCUCUCCAUGGAAACCAAGGGAGUCCGGAGAAACAGCCCCACCGGGACCAACCAUCAGAGCUUUAAAAAGAGCCACGUCGAGGGAGAGGGGGUGGAAGUGGAUGAUUUUUCAUCACUGGCCUGGAAGCACCAUGGUGGGAAUGGCAAGGCUUUUGUUUUAGAGGGCUCUGUCUGUGCAAGCUGGGCUAGAUGCCUUCAAGAGGAGACAUCCUGGAAGAUGGACCACGUUCUCUUGGAAAAUCAUGCCUGGAGACUGUUGUCCUGGAUAGGCCAUGCCCUGAGAGAAGAGGAAACUGUACUGGCCAAACCCCAGUGCUGCCUUGCUGCACCUUCCCUUCCUGUGAGGGCACCUCCUUCUCCAUCCUGGAUUUGGGAGAAGCUCCUGCUGCAGCUCUGAAGCUGUGGAAUACCCCAUGGGACCUGCUGUGACCAGGUGAGGGAGCUCAGCAAGGGGAGACCUCAGCACACCACCUCUCUGGACACUGCCAUCACACAGGGAUCAAUAUCCAGGGCAAAGCUCCCUCUUCAGAAAUAUCCCUGGGAAAGGCUCUAAAUCAGAGAGUGAGAGAAUCACAGAAUGGUUUGGACCAGAUGGCACCUUAAGUUCAUCUUGUUCCUACCCCCUAGCAUGGGCAGGGACACAUCCCACUAGAACAGGUUGCUCCAAGGCCCACCCAGUCUGGCAUUGAACACUUCCAAGGAUCCCACAACCCUUGCAAUGAUGGAUUAGGGCUGCAGAAACAAGCCCUGGGAAGCUUUGAGCUUGCACCCCAGCUGGGUUUGGCAGCAGGUUACCUGGAGGUUACAUCACAGGGAGGCCGACCUGCUGCUUCCCUGGCAAGAGCAGAUGGAAGAACAAGGCCACCUCCUCCCAGAAGCUUUGGAGGCAUGUGAUUUUCCACGGAAAAGCCCAGGCAUCUGUGCACAGAUGCAGGCAGGGUGCAGGCAGGCUGCCCAGUGCAUCUCUGAGAAUAUAUCCCAGCACCAGGGCCCUCUCCAUACCCCCAUGUGUGUAUCCCUGCACCAGGGACAUCUUCCCUCAAUAAUAUUGAUCAUUUAGAAAUGCCACUAGGUGCACAGCCUCGUCUUGGGGACCUGCCAAUGUCCCCACGGCGGCACCAGCCAAAGCUCCAGGAGGUUCCUCAUUAACCCAUUUUAAUUAUAAUGCUCGAUGGUUUCACAGCACUUUCCAGCCCACGAUCAGAGAAGACAAAAAACUAAACCUAAACUGGUCCAUCAGGCAAAAAAAUGCUGCCAAAUUCCCCCAAAACAUCCUCAAAGAUGUUUCACACAGUGGCCAAGAGUGGCCAUCCUGUUCUCAGCCACCAACGGUUGCUAUCUGGCACUGGGGACAAAAACAGGAGAAGGAGCUGGAUGGGGAGCAGAAAUCCCUGGAGAAUAUUUUGAGGGGAAUGUUGCUGCAAGGAUGACAGAUUCCAAGAGAAUAACCUGGGGGAAUGAUGCUGUGGGGAUGCCAGACCCCAGGAGAACCUCCUGGGGACGAUGACGCUGCAGGGCUGCUGGAUCCCACGAGAAUAUCCUGUGAGGAGGAUGCCAGAUGCCAAGAGAAUACCCUGGGGGGAAGAUGCUAGGGGAUUUUGGGAGGAUCCAAAGAUAAGCAGCCUCUCUCCCCGUGGCUCUGCCCUGGCCAGCAAGGGUUACACCGCCAGGCUCAGCCCCGGGACUUCACGCUUGGCUGCCUGGCGGCUGCUGGAAGGGAAUGGUCCAGCCCAUCCUCUUGAAUCAGUUUGGAGCAGGGGAGAGAGCCCUGCCAGCAUCAUUCCUGCGAGCUCUCAGCAGAUCCCCCACAGGAACGGGUAUUUCUGGGCUUCUCCCAGAGCUAUUAAAAGCCCCGUGGGUGCUGGCACUGCUAUGCCGCAGCAGGAGGUGAUGCUUCCAAGCCCUUCCCGGCACAAACACCCCGAGUGAUGGGAACCCAAGUCCACGUUCAAACAACAGCCAAGGGGCCAGCAAUGCCAAAAACCCAUCCCAGGAAAGAUCCCAAAACACGCAGCUGUGCUUCAGGGUGAGCAGAGCACCUUCACAUCCCCCAUACUGCCCCAAUUCUUCCCCAGCGAGGAUCAAACUUUCACCUAUCAAUCAAAUAUUCAGUGCAUGCACAAAAAUAUUUUCCCCCUUUUUCCCACGCACCAGCAUGGCAAUGCUCAUGAUCCCAAGUAGAGGGAUGGUGGUUUUUUGAGGGGGAAAUGCAGUUUUGCUCAGUAAAGGGUGUAGCAUUUGCAUUCCCAAGCUGAAGGAUCGUUUCCCAGCCUUCCCAGCCAAGGAAUAGGCAAUUUUUGGUUCAGCAUCUCAGGGAUGGUCAAUUUAUCAGUACCUUAUAUAGCACCACUGAGAGAUGUUAUAUAUAAACAUAAUACAUUUCUAAAACCCUCUUCCACCAAAAUGUGGUGCUGUUUAACCUGAAAACUGCUUUUUCCCAUCCAAAAAUUGCCUUUUCAUCAGGGAGGUUGCCCCAGCAAACAAGAGCUUAUCCCCAGGGGACCACCGGAAAGGGCUGGGAGGGCUCUUGACCAUCCAGCAGUGCCUCUGCAGAUGGGAAUUUGUCCACCACAGGGGACACAUGACAGACCCCAAGGCCGCCAGUGCUUUGGAUGGGUGGUGCACCCCAUGAAACAAAGGUGCUUUUAGG